GGUUAAGGUACACAUAGCACGAGGGGAAUGCCUUGGCGCUGUAUGCCGAAGAAAGACGUAGCAAGCUGCGAAAAGCCGCGGUAAGGAGCAAGCAUCCAUCGACCCGCGGAUAUCUGAAUGGGGCAACCUUCACGGGUCAACCCGUGAGCCUUUAGAGAAAGGCGGCAACCCGGCGAAGUGAAACAUCUCAGUAGCCGGAGGAAAAGAAAUCGUAAGAGAUACCCUAAGUAGUGGUGAGCGAAAGGGGCGAAGCCCAAACCGUAGCCAUGCCAAGCCCGCAGGCGUUGUGGCGUCGGUGUAGAGGGAUCAUACGGGAAAGGCUGCGGACCUUCCACGGAGCGAGAAAGCCGACAGCAAACCGAACCGAGUUGGAAAAUCGGGCCAUAGAGAGUGAAAGCCUCGUAAGUGCAAGCCGUCGGCCUCCGGUAUGACACCCAAGUAAUGCGGAACACGAGAAACUCCGUACGAAUCCGGGCCGACCACGGUCCAAGGCUAAAUACAUACAGCGACCGAUAGAGAAACAGUACCGAGAGGGAAAGGUGAAAAGCACCCCUGGCGGGGAGUGAAAGAGACCUGAAACCUCGUGCUAACAAGCAGAUGGAGCUUCGUAAGAAGUGACAUCGUGCCUCUUGGAAAAUGAGCCGUCGAGUUAUAGUGCGUGGCGAAGUUAAAGACUACGAGGUCCGCAGCUGAAGCGAAAGCGAGUCCGAAGAGGGCGCGAGUCUCGUACUAUAGACCCGAAGCCAUACGAUCUAUCCGUGUCCAGAUCGAAGACCGGGUAACACCGGUUGGAGGAUCGCACCACAGCCUGUUGAAAAAGGCCUGGAUGAGGUGCGGAUAGGAGUGAAAAGCUAAUCGAGUAUGGUGAUAGCUGGUUCUCCCCGAAAUGCAUUGAGGUGCAGCCUCAGGCGAACGAACAAAGGGGGUAAAGCACUGACUAGGCAAGGGGGCGGCAACGCCUGCCGAGCUUACUCAAACUAAGAAUACCUUUGUAUUGCGUCAGAGAGUGAGACUGCGAGUGCGAAGAUCCGUAGUCGAAAGGGAAACAGCCCAGCCCGACAGCUAAGGUCCCCAAGCGCGUGCUAAGUGUGACAAGGAUGUGGGGAAGCCCAGACAGCCAGGAAGUUGGCUCAGAAGCAGCCAUCCUUCAAAGAGUGCGUAACAGCUCACUGGUCGAGCGUCCCCGCGCCAAAAAUGUGGGGGGCUAAGCACGCCGCCGAAGCUUCGGACUCAAUGUUUCAGACAUUGAGUGGUAGGGGAGCGUUCUUUACAGGACGAAGCGGCGUUGUAAAAAGCCGUGGACAGUAAAGAAGAGAGAAUGACGGCAUGAGUAGCGAGAAAUAUGCAAAAAACAUAUUCACCGAAAACCCGAGGAUUCCUGGGGAAGGUUCAUCCGCCCAGGGUUAGGCGGGCCCUAAGGCGAGGCUGAAAAGCGUAGUCGAUGGACAGCGGGUAGACAUCCCCGCCCUUCGGUAGUUCGUUUGACAGAAGCGGGAAAGCAGAAAGCUAUGCGCGCCGGGCGACGGACAUCCCGGUACAAAGAAGUAGGCCGAUGAGGGAGGCAAAUCCCCCGCAUCAUAAAGCCGAGACCUGACGUGGAAGAAACAAAAUUCUGGAAGGCGCAAAUGCUCGGCUGCCGAGAAAAGCCGCUAUGGAGAACUAUCGGACCCGUACUUCAAACCGACACAGGUGGGUUGGCCUAGCAAGCUAAGGUGAACGGGAAAACCAUUGUUAAGGAACUCUGCAAGUUGACUCCGUAACUUCGGGAGAAGGAGUGGCUGAAGACGUGAAGACUAAACGUUAUAAGCGUUUUUGGUUCGCAGAACCCAGGCUCAGGCGACUGUUUAACUAAAACACAAGACUCUGCUGAAGGCGCAAGCCGAAGUAUAGGGUCUGACACCUGCCCGGUGCCGGAAGGUUAAAGGGAGAAGUCAGCCCUUAAGGGCGCAGCUUUGAACUGAAGCCCCGGUAAACGGCGGCCGUAACUAUAACGGUCCUAAGGUAGCGAAAUUCCUUGUCGGGUAAGUUCCGACCUGCACGAAAGGUGUAACGAUCUGAGCGCUGUCUCAACAGUGGACCCGGUGAAAUUGUGGUACUGGUAAAGACGCCAGUUCCCCGCAGUAGGACGGAAAGACCCCGUGGAGCUUUACUGUAACUUGAUAUUGGAUUUCGGUACAGCAUGUAUAGAAUAGGUGGGAGCCGUUGAAGAAAUGACGUCAGUUGUUUCGGAGGCGCCGUUGGAAUACCACCCUUGCCGUGCUGAGAUUCUAACGGCUGCUAUUGAAACAUAGAGCCGGACAUUGUCAGGCGGGCAGUUUGACUGGGGCGGUCGCCUCCCAAAGAGUAACGGAGGCGCGCGAAAGUCACCUCAGGGUGAAUGGAAAACACCCAAAGAGCGUAAGGGUAUAAGGUGGCCUAACUGAGAGAUCGACAGAUCGAACAGAAACGAAAGUUGGUCCUAGUGAUCCGGUGGUCCUGAGUGGAAAGGCCAUCGCUCAUCGGAUAAAAGCUACCCCGGGGAUAACAGGCUGAUGCCGCCCGAGAGUUCCUAUCGACGGCGGCGUUUGGCACCUCGAUGUCGGCUCAUCGCAUCCUGGGGCUGAAGCAGGUCCCAAGGGUUGGUCUGUUCGCCCAUUAAAGCGGUACGUGAGCUGGGUUCAGAACGUCGUGAGACAGUUCGGUCCCUAUCCACUGUGGGCGCAAGGUAUUUGAGGGGAGCCGUCCUUAGUACGAGAGGACCGGGAUAGACGAACCGCUAGUGAACCAGUUGUUCCGCCAGGGGCAGAAGCUGGGUAGCCAAGUUCGGUCAGGAUAACCGCUGAAGGCAUCUAAGCGGGAAGCCGUCCCCGAGAUGAGAUACCUGAUUCUGUAAUAGGAAGUAAGGCGUCCGGAAGACGACCGGAUAGAUAGGCCGGGAGUGUAAGAGGGUAACGCCCUUUGAGCCGACCGGUACUAAUACGCCGAGGCCUUAACCUCA
rnacentral:rRNA from 1 species